UUCCCUCUUUAUGGUUAAGUGAACCCGAAAACAAUGGCAAAGAAAUAUGCACUGAGUCAUAUAUUCUGCAAAAUAGACUGUACUCUCCUCUAACCGAAAUCACGACACUUUAAUUCUUGGAUUUCUCCACAUUUUCGUAGCUAAGGCUCCUUUUUGCUUUCUCUGACUCUCUAUCAGUCCUCGCAGUUCUGCCCAUGGGGAAAACUCUGCGGGACCCUGCCACUGUAGCCCUUGCACUGUUAAGAGGAGUCAAAGAAAUGUCAUUCUCCAGUAGGCUUCUUUACAGUGCUGUGCUAUGGGAGUGACUACGCAAGAACUGAAAGCCCAUGAAGCCCAGUCCUGAGACUUCCUCCUGUUCAAAUCAAUGGAAAGACCAGCAGAGCACCAUACCAUAGAAGGGCACAGUGGGUACACACCAAUGGAAUGUAAUCUUAUGCCUGACUAUUGCUACCAGAACGUAUAAUGACAAAAUGCUUUCAUUGUCUAAAUCUAAGUGACACAGGCCAGUUCAGCACGGAAACAACAGCCUGAGAUGUGAGACUGCAGAGACAAUCAGCCAAGUUGGAAGUGUUGCCCACUUGUCACCAAGGAGGGGAAAACAUUCACAAGAAGCUCUGGCGAGAGGACCCAGGGAACCAUGGCUCCCAGACAAGUGUUAAAUGUCUGACGCCACACAUACAAUAAAAAGCUGAAGAUGGGGGCAUCCAUGUUGAAGCUUUGUGUCUAGAAAUAGAAAUUCACAGACCAACUUAAAAGUUACUUCCUAAAUACGACUUCUUUUCCAAAAUUCUACACAAAUUUCUUUAAAUCUCAGAAGUCUGCAGCAGAGUCUACAGCACUAUAACCCAGUAGCUGAGGCUGCACAACAAUUGACCUGAGAUAUGCAGGCAGAGGGAAGAGAUACUGGCCUGGAAAUACCUCAGAUUCUUGAAAACGGCUGCAGAGUUUGGACUUGCUGGUGAAACUCACAGAGGGUGGAACACGCAGAAGAAGCCAUCAGUUCUGUUCUUGAACGUUGCUGGAAAUCAAGGGCACACAUGGACAGUUUGUUCAUCUAUCAGUGUCUUCACUUUCACUGAGGUGUCCUCAGACGUCACCUUUCUGACUCUUCUGAUAUGAAGCCGGCUGCAUCUGCCUGUCUUCCGCAUGUUGAAUCUGGUGCCUUAGACCACUUACAGAAGUAGAAAGUUUGCCCUUCUAUUUGCCCUUUAGCCAGGUUCCUGACUUAAAAAGGCCCUGCCCUAUUCAAUAAACAGGGUGCACCUUGCCCAGGGCACAAGUAGGUGCCCCCACAGGGCCAGCUCUUGAACUCAUGUAAACAAACACACAGUGUUGCGUGUUUGUGCUUUAUCAUUCUCUUUGGGAGUUAUAAAAUCCUUUUGUUUCGAUCCUGUUUUCUGAAACCUCUAGAUAUACUGGAAAUUCUAUCAAUUUUUUUAAAUGAUGAUAACACUGACUAAUAUUGAGGAGAAUAAUAACUCCUGUUAGUUUGAUAAACAGCUUUAGUUUUAUUUUUCUUUUUGGUUGGGCGAAAUGUGUUUGGCCAUGUAAUCUUCAGUCCCUUAAUUUGUAAUCCCCUGGGUAUUUCUAGGGAAAUUUAACCCAUGUGUCUCUGGUUCAUAGUUUCUCACGUUGUCUAAAUGUUAUUUUCCAAAACCUUUUAUUAGUGUUAAGGCAGGUUUAUUAAACUCUAUACAAGUUCCUGAAAGCCUUCUUUUUGCUCCUCUUGAAGAACCCAGUUGACAUGAACUCCAAGUCCUAGAGUUUGAUUCUAAAGUUAACAUUGACAAAGCUUGACUGGACCCCAAAGCUGCCCAGUACAGUUACGACUCUAAAAAGUAUCACGUUUGAGAAGAGCAAGUGUUCCACAGCGUGUACAAAUGAAAGUACAGCAGAGAGCAAAGGCUGAAAGGGUGCAGACAAGGCCUCCAAGGGUUGGCUAGUGUGGAAAUUACUAUUGCAUUAGCUUUCCUUUACUGGUAAAUUCCACAGCCACUUCUCCCUAGGCCCUUCAUUGUAUCUUGGGUAAUUUCAUUUUGUAUGCAAAAAAAAAAAAAAAAAUAAAAUACUUUAAGUAAGUAUUCUGAUAAUCUUGCCAGAGUGAAAAGGGUUAGGAACAGACAUAAAAAUGUAUUGUCUAGAAUGCAUCUCAUAAUUUCCAUAAUUCGCAAAAAAAUUCAUUCACUGCCAGUUUAUUUGAUUUAACAGCCUCCAAAGUGUAAGGUUACAUGGAAUAAAUAGCUAAUUGGGUUAAUUUAAUAGCAGGUUAAAUCUUUCUUUUAUUUUGUCUAAAAGGCACAUUAAAAUAGUACAAUUUUCAAGUGGUCUUAGAAAUCUAAAGUAGAGUUUCUUGAUAAAAAAAAAAUAUAUAGCUUUCCCACUGCUGGGUUUACAGUAGAAGUAGCUGGCAUGCUUCCAGUUCACCACAUGAAAAUCUAAGCUGCCUGUAUAAGUGCAGAAUUUAGUGUUGGGUCUUAAGGUUUUGUUUGGCGUCUUGCCAACGAUGUUAUGCAUUUAGCUGGGAAAAUUGCCUAGAAGUUAAUUGAGAGGAAAACACUAAUAUACAACCCCCCCAAGGAAAAAAAAAAAAAGCCUUGUAUAUGCAUAUGGUGCUGUUCAUUGAUAAGAUUCGUAUGUAUACAAUAAGGACCCAGUAAAGUUACUGAGAGCCAGUUUUCACCCAGCACCCAUUAUCCAGCACCAUUCAUCUCUCUUCUCUGCGGAGCAGUUCCAUGGCUUCUCCACAGUCAAGAAUUUUCAGGCACAAGUCCUGGAGGGAGGGUCCUUGGAGGAGGGGGGAGGCGUGAGUGGUCCCUUUUAAAAUUUCACUGCCCAAAGAUAAGUGAUUAUUCAGGAAUUCUGGAAUGUACAAUUCCAGUUCUACCUUUUAUUCAUUUGUUUUGGAGAGGACAGUUUAGUGCAAGAUCUCAGCUCUGCUCCCUGGCAUGCACAGGUAGAGAAGCUUUUUUUGGAUUCUAGGAUUCUAGACAAAGAACUCAGGAACUGCCAGGGAUGCUCUGCCGCCCCCCAGAAUGCCUAGAGGCUGAGAGAGUUCUCAGAUUCUGCCUGCUGGCUCUGGUAGCCCUGCUUGAGGAACCUACAGAUUUUCUGUGUUGUUCAUUGUCUCGCUGAGGUUAUACCUGCAAGCUCUCUGCGUUUUCUUCUUUCCUGAAUUUUCUCUGGGGUGUUCAUGAUGAUGCUUCUUUUUCAGGCUGUGGCAUGCCCCUCCGCACUCGCUUUUUUUGUUUGUUUGUUUUUUGUUUGUUUGUUUGUUUCCUGUUCUGAUCAAGAAUCACGACAGAAAACAGUAAGACAUUUCCUAGGAAUGAUGACCACUGUGUUUCUUCUUCAGAACGGGAGUACAGGAAACGGGCGGCACACUCGCAUGCUGUCUGUCCUGGGCAGGCUGAAAUUUAUCUGGGAACACCCACGGGUGUCACUGUGCCUCAUUAGUACUGAAGUCACAGUUCAUGGUCCGCCUACCCACACCCCCACUCCUUUCUCAGGGACGUUGUAAACCGUGGGUAGAAAAAUAACACUUUUCAGAAAACGAAGCCUGGCCUGAAGCUGGAAAGCCCGGGUCUUAAAUAACAUAGCUCCCAGGGAGUGGGCUUCCUGGUCACUUUCAAGGCCUCCCUUUCUUUUUUCACUGUGCUCUCAGAGAAAGGACUCGAGGGCAGGAAAGCUGGGUGUACUUUGGGGUAGAAAGGGAGGGGAAAGUGAUCCUUUAAUUAAGAGGGGAAUUCUUUUGUACCUGCACUGUAUCCUUUUGAUGCGUUUAGAUAGAGGGGACCGGAGAGCCCAGGGACAAUGGCAGUUUGCUACUGUCUGAAUCCCUUCCCCUUAUACUUAAUCCUGUCCUUAUUGGGACCUUGGGUGGAAAGCUGAUAAUUUUGGUGUUGCCCAAAGGAAGGCAGUGCCUUGAAUUCCUGCCACUAUCCCAUGAUAAUGAACAAGCCUAAUGAAUGCGGAUAAGUGGUAAGAAUCUGUGACCAGCUGCAUCGGGGCAGGUAGUACAGCUCAGAUUUAAUUGGGAGCAGGUAUUGGAAGGCUGUAUUACUUUAAUUGGUGAGGGGUUUUCUAAAUGGAAAGGACAAAGUAUAAUGAAGAAAUUGUGCUGUACAAUACCACUUAAGCUGGGAUUGUAUGCAUCCGUUAAUCUGCUGAGGAAUGAGGCCAUUCUAAACAAUUUUCCCAGUGAAACCAACUCCAGAAAACUUGUCCCCUUUGUUCUCCCUUGGGAAAAUGCAAGAUUGAAACAGAAAAUACCUUUACCGAGGCAAUCAUGUGCCACGUGUGGAAAGCGGAUACAGCUGUAAGCUCUGCGAAAGGGAUCUUUGUGGUACAAUAGGGGACGGAAAUAGAGAUAAGGCUCGGGAUAAGAGGGAGCCCGUCACUGCCUCUGAAGGAGGAAUAAAGUGAUGGUAUUUACAGUGACAGAUGAGACUCUGAAGAGAGAGCGGGACAGUUCAGAGAAAGGAUAUUUGAUAUUUAAAAGAAAGGGCUGUGAUAAUUAAAAGUAGCAUUGCAUUAAACUGUUACGCAGUUCAUUAAUGACAGAAGGAAAGCCGUGUCUCUGAAAAAGUUAAUGAUUCUCAAGAAACCACUCUGGAAGCCUGACACUACUCAGAGCCUAGGUGAACAGAAGGCUAACACCAGUCUUGACUGUGGAGUUCAGAAUCUCCUUAAAAUUUAUAAAAAGCAAUGUGGACAAAAAGCGACUGUAAUAACUGUGUGGUGUUCUCCUCAGUCAAGAGAGGGCUCAAGUUGUGUGUACAGCUAGGACAGGGAAUGAGGGAGAUCAGCCAUGUAAUGGAGUUUACAAAAGUUACUGUUUUGAACAUGUGGGUAUAAAAUGGGUAUAGAACAGUUACCAUCAGAUGAUUCCUUUUGGAAGGUUUCCUUUCACAAUUUACAUUCAGCAGCAAAGCACAUCCAUGGGACAGCAUUUACGAGAAAGAGACAGAGACAGAGAGACAGAGACAGAUGGGGGAUGGACUACUGGAUUCAGAUUUGUGGUUCAAACAGCCUUUAUGAGACUCUUUAGCAGGAUUCUUAAUAGGUUUAUACUUCAAGAGGAUGAGCAAUUGAAUUAAAUUCGUAUAUUUUCUUACCGGUGGGAAAAUGCAAAGAUCAAAGGUUCUAUGGUGUUCAUGGAGGUUCAGCAGUGGGAGGAGGAGAAAUGGGAGCAGAAUAGGAUUGUUGGCUAGACUUUCCCAGGAUUCCCAGGCGGGUUUCAUAUAUUGCCCAACUGGAAGAACCAGACCAACCAACACAUCUUUCCCCAAGGACUGCAAGGGCUAUUGUCCCUGCUAGAUCCAAAGAUAGAAAGCUACAGUUUCUAUGAAGAACUCUUUGGAAGGAAAAUUAUUUUGAUAUUGUGCACAUUUAGAUCCCAUCUAUUGGACAACAUAGACAUUGGGCUCAAACUAAAGUACUGACUACAAUGAAAAUAAAAACUAGCAAACAAACAGAAA